GCAUUAAUAGGGUAAUGGUAACCUGGGUCGUUGCCAUAAGGAUAAGACGGAUCAGGUCCUCUUUCGACCCGCCGGAGAUUCGAUUCCCUCUCAAUGCA